rnacentral:rRNA from 1 species
UACGUAGGGCGCAAGCGUUAUCUGGAAUUAUUGGGUGUAAAGAGCUCGUAGGCGGUUUGUCGCGUCUGCCGUGAAAGUCCGGGGCUCAACUCCGGAUCUGCGGUGGGUACGGGCAGACUAGAGUGAUGUAGGGGAGACUGGAAUUCCUGGUGUAGCGGUGAAAUGCGCAGAUAUCAGGAGGAACACCGAUGGCGAAGGCAGGUCUCUGGGCAUUAACUGACGCUGAGGAGCGAAAGCAUGGGGAGCGAACAGG